UCUUUAUAAUAAUUAAUUUAAUUUUAAUUAUUUAAUACUUAUAAAUUUAAGUUAAAAAUUAUUUUAUUGGGGUGAUAUAAAAAUUUAAUAAACUUUUUAUUUAAUUUUAUUAAAAUAAAAAGAAAUAAAAUGAUCUAUAGAUUAUAAUUAUAAGAUUAAGA
rnacentral:rRNA from 1 species